rnacentral:piRNA from 1 species
CCCAAGCCCAAACUGCUCUGCCCUCC